GUAGUUGAGUCCUGGCUCGAGGACACGCUGGCGGCGUGCUUAACACAUGCAAGUCGAACGAUGAUGCCCUGCUUGCAGGGUGGAUUAGUGGCGAACGGGUGAGUAACACGUAGGUGAUCUGCCCCGCACUUCGGGAUAAGCCUGGGAAACUGGGUCUAAUACCGGAUACGACCCCCUGGUAGGUCAGGGGGUGGAAAGAGUUUUAUCGGUGUGGGAUGAGCCUGCGGCCUAUCAGCUUGUUGGUGGGGUAAUGGCCUACCAAGGCGUCGACGGGUAGCCGGCCUGAGAGGGUGAUCGGCCACAUUGGGACUGAGACACGGCCCAGACUCCUACGGGAGGCAGCAGUGGGGAAUAUUGCACAAUGGGCGCAAGCCUGAUGCAGCGACGCCGCGUGGGGGAUGACGGCCUUCGGGUUGUAAACUCCUUUCGACAGGGACGAAGCUUAUGUGACGGUACCUGUAGAAGAAGCACCGGCUAACUACGUG
rnacentral:rRNA from 1 species